GGAGGGCUCGCAUAGUGGCCGAGUGCACCGGUCUUGAAAACCGGCAAGGGAAACCUUCGUGGGUUCAAAUCCCACGCCCUCCG
rnacentral:tRNA from 1 species